rnacentral:rRNA from 1 species
CCUACGGGUGGCAGCAGUGGGGAAUAUUGGACAAUGGGGGCAACCCUGAUCCAGCCAUGCCGCGUGUGUGAAGAAGGCCCUCGGGUUGUAAAGCACUUUCAGUGAGGAAGAACGCCUGGUGGUUAAUACCCAUCAGGAAAGACAUCACUCACAGAAGAAGCACCGGCUAACUCCGUGCCAGCAGCCGCGGUAAUACGGAGGUUGCGAGCGUUAAUCGGAAUUACUGGGCGUAAAGCGCGCGUAGGUGGCUUGAUAAGCCGGUUGUGAAAGCCCCGGGCUCAACCUGGGAACGGCAUCCGGAACUGUCAAGCUAGAGUGCAGGAGAGGAAGGUAGAAUUCCCGGUGUAGCGGUGAAAUGCGUAGAGAUCGGGAGGAAUACCAGUGGCGAAGGCGGCCUUCUGGACUGACACUGACACUGAGGUGCGAAAGCGUGGGUAGCAAACAGGAUUAGAUACCCGUGUAGUC